AUGGUCAAUCACAAGCAAAAGAGCAAUCAAUUGAAAGCUCUACUGAAGUGAACCAAAAUAACAACUCUAUACUUGAAGAAAAUGCACAAUUUGAAGGAGAACAACACAUACAAGAAGAUAGUCAUGUUCAGUCUCAUACUUCUCUUGAAAGUGCAAGUGAAAGAUCAACUAAAGGUA